AUUGAACGCUGGCGGCAGGCCUAACACAUGCAAGUCGAACGGUAACAGGAAGAAGCUUGCUUCUUUGCUGACGAGUGGCGGACGGGUGAGUAAUGUCUGGGAAACUGCCAGAUGGAGGGGGAUAACUACUGGAAACGGUAGCUAAUACCGCAUAAUGUCGCAAGACCAAAGAGGGGGACCUUCGGGCCUCUUGCCAUCGGAUGUGCCCAGAUGGGAUUAGCUAGUAGGUGGGGUAACGGCUCACCUAGGCGACGAUCCCUAGCUGGUCUGAGAGGAUGACCAGCCACACUGGAACUGAGACACGGUCCAGACUCCUACGGGAGGCAGCAGUGGGGAAUAUUGCACAAUGGGCGCAAGCCUGAUGCAGCUAUGCCGCGUGUAUGAAGAAGGCCUUCGGGUUGUAAAGUACUUUCAGCGGGGAGGAAGGGAGUAAAGUUAAUACCUUUGCUCAUUGACGUUACCCGCAGAAGAAGCACCGGCUAACUCCGUG
rnacentral:rRNA from 1 species